rnacentral:lncRNA from 1 species
GGACCCUUGAGAGGUGUGAGAAAGCUCUCUUUUCAAUUCAAAAAUUUUGGUCCUGUUUUCAGUGCCAUAUCUGGCCUGAAGUUGGGACCAUAUACUCUGUGCAGUAUCAGAAUACUGCAUACUUUCAGCAAUUUGAGGGGAUAGGGAGGCAGUUAACCAGGAAAUCACCAUAUUAUUGCUCAUGUCCCAUAACCUUUGAUGAGCCACAUUAGUAACUGGCCGGGAGCACGUGCCAUCAACAAAACCAAUUUUGUUUUUAGCAGAUAACGCGACAAU